rnacentral:misc_RNA from 1 species
AUUUGAUGUUUUACAUCAAAGAAAAGAUGCCGAAGAUUCGUUAGCCUACUAAACUUGUCCGGCAAACACAUCAAUGAUGUGCAAUUCUCCAAAAUUAGCACUUGUAAUAACGAAAGCUCACACAGUGAUGAUGGUAAAGUACUGAUGUUAUUACUGGAAAGGUCCAAGUACCGCAAGUGCUUAAGAUUGCCAACAAUUUCUGGUAUUUCUGUGA